rnacentral:snRNA from 1 species
CUCGUGGCGCAGUGGCUUUUAUCGUAACCAAUGAAGAGGCCUCCUGAGGUGCGAUUAUUGCUAGUUGGAAACUUUUUUGUAAGUUUGUAAGUCUUAUAUUUAUGUAUUUCAUGUUUACCUUUAAA